UACGAAGGGGGCUAGCGUUGUUCGGAAUACUGGGCGUAAAGCGUGCGCAGGCGGUUUUGUAAGCCAGAUGUGAAAUCCCCGGGCUUAACCUGGGAAUGGCAUUUGGGACUGCAAGGCUGGAGUGUGGCAGAGGGGACUGGAAUACUUGGUGUAGCAGUGAAAUGCGUAGAUAUCAAGUGGAACACCAGUGGCGAAGGCGAGUCCCUGGACAACUCCUGACACUGAGGCACGAAAGCUAGGGGAGCAAACAGG
rnacentral:rRNA from 1 species